CUCCCAGUGACAGCAGCCUUCUCCCUCCCGCCUUUGGUGAGUGGGGCUGUAACCCCAGGGGGAGGAGGCUGGGUUCUGUCUGAAUUCCGUCUCUGGUCCUUUCUUGGCUCCUUUCCCGCCUCACUGUCUCCUUAGGAAAAUGGGUUCUGGUUUCCCAGUAGGGGCUUCAGAUCUUAGCAUCCACCUUGUACUUGAAAACCUAGUUAUCAAAAGAUCAUUGUGCCCACAGCUCUCCUCUCAGGCAUUGCUGUUUCCAUUCUUCACUGGCCCCCAGAGGCUCGGCUUAAUUGGCUGCCUCCGAAGCAUGCGAUUGAACUUGAGCAGUGGUUGGGAUGCCCGGGCCCGCCCCUCCCCACGCAGCACCUGUGACCUUAUAUUCAGAUGGCGGUGAGCUCCCAUGUACACUGUCACCUUGCACUUGAUGGGCAUCAGGGACCAGGAAGUGAAAAGGCAGAGAAGCUAGAUCUGGCUGCCAAGGGCUCUGAGUCCUGAAUGGCAGGAAAAUAAGCAGUGAUGCUGCUGGACCCGAUGCCACUGGCCCCACCACCUGCCCACCAGCACCUGGUUAAUACAUCGAGCCAAGCCCUCUUAUAGACCGGACUGUACCGCGGGUGCUCAGUGAUCCUGUUGAAGGGCUGAGACCAGAGGGAUGGGUGGGUCUAUGCAUGCUUAUAGCAGAGUCUCGCGGCGUCUGGGACUUGCCCUUUGCUCCCUCGGGCUGUGCUUGCUGCCUUUACCUGCGCUGGGCCUGGCAGAGCUCGGAGUCUUCCGGAUUCCAGGGUCUGCGGUAGCCAGUCUGUCAACUGCUGGAGUAAGCUGCUUUCCCAAAAUAGCCAUCCAGAGGGAAGGAGCAGCCCUGGAAUUCGACCCUGGUGAUCACCGUGAUGGCCUUGCCCAGGCUCCUGGUCCCACCUGGCCCCACCUCCCUGACCAUCUCCAAGGAGCUAUUGGUGGAUGUGGGGGCCAGGGUUUUUCCUCUCUCUCUCUCUCCUUCCUUCCUCUUCCCUUUUGUUCUUUCUUUCCACCAGCUUUAGGUUUACAAUCCAAGUGACUCAGGAGAGAUGUUCCAGUGCCUGACUGGCUGGGGAGGGGCAGGUCACGGUGGGAGCAGGGAGGGGAGGGGCCCUGUGUGCCAGCACCUCUCUGCAGGUGACUGCACAUCCAUGGAGGGGCCGAGGCGCUGGCUGUGAGUCGAGCCACUGGCAGCAGUGCCAGACCUGGAGGUGGCAGCAGGCUUGACAGGUCCGACAGGUGGAGCCAGCCCUGCGGCUGCGAGGCCACAGUUGAAGGUCUCAUCCCGGGUCCUCCCUCAGCCCACAAAGCAGUCCUCUGACCAGAAGAUUGUCCCUGAGGUCCAGGCCUCCUCUGUCUAACUGGGAAGAUUGUCUCUGUAUCCGAGGAUCCUGGACUCAGGAGGAAGAGGGACCCCCUCCUGGCCACCAGAACUGCCAGACCAGCCCUGGUGCCCGGGGGUCAGCCUCCACAGGCUGACCCUUC
rnacentral:lncRNA from 1 species